rnacentral:rRNA from 1 species
UGGAGGCAGCAGUGAGGAAUAUUGGACAAUGGGCGCAAGCCUGAUCCAGCCAUGCCGCGUGCAGGAUGAAGCAUCUAUGGUGUGUAAACUGCUUUUAUACAGGAAGAAACCUCCCGACGUGUCGGGAAUUGACGGUACUGUAAGAAUAAGGAUCGGCUAACUCCGUGCCAGCAGCCGCGGUAAUACGGAGGAUCCAAGCGUUAUCCGGAAUCAUUGGGUUUAAAGGGUCCGUAGGCGGGCCAGUAAGUCAGUGGUGAAAUCUCUCCGCUCAACGGGGAAAUGGCCAUUGAUACUGCUGGUCUUGAAUUAUUAGGAAGUAACUAGAAUAUGUAGUGUAGCGGUGAAAUGCUUAGAGAUUACAUGGAAUACCAAUUGCGAAGGCAGGUUACUACUAAUGGAUUGACGCUGAUGGACGAAAGCGUGGGUAGCGAACAGGAUUAGAAACCCCGGUAGUCCC